AAUGAAACGACACGUGUUUUAUAUGAUGUUGAAAGCUUCAAUUGAUACGUACAAUACAAGUCUCCUGAAGGGAUAUUCUUGUUCUUGAGGAGACCAUUUCUCCUUUAGACUUUCAACUUCUUUCUCUUUGUCUCCGAGAAGAAAGAGGUUCAUCGUCUUCUGAUCUUCUCUUAUCCUUUUAUAAUCUUCUAAUUUGUCUUUCUAAUAACAACAGGUCAUUCACAAGAUCCUGGUGAAUAUAUAAUCCCUAGGAAAGAUGUCAAUCCUGUGCAACAAUGGCAGAAAAAGAGACAAGAGAAGAAGAAAAGAGAAAGAGACAACGAUAGAAGAGACUCAGCAAUGUUGUUGUUGUUGCCUGUGGCCUCAAUUUUCAAUGGUCAGAGGAAUAAAGAGAUGUCUCUUCAUCUCAUGUUAUCCAUUUAUUCGCUGUUUAGGGUUGGAAGAGAGAAGGCAUCGUCAUCAUCUUCAUUACCAAAACCAUUUCCUAUGAUAAUUUUUGUGUGUAUUCAUUCGUAUAUAAGCUUGAGAUUACUAUAAGCAUAUAUAUGAAAACAUUUCUUGAUUUCUAGAAAAAAAAAAAAAAAAAACUUGUAACAUAACUCAAAAUAAGGAAUCAUCAAGACAAUGAAAUGUUUGGUUAGCUAGGGGCUACAUUU